rnacentral:rRNA from 1 species
GACUACUACUAUCAGGAUUCGGCUUAGCCAUGCGAGGUAUUUGUAGCAAUACAAACCGCACUGCUCAGUAACACGUAGUUAAUCUACCCUUAGGACGGGGAUAAUCUUGGGAAACUGAGCGUAAUACCCGAUAGGCGAUAAUUGCUGGAAGGCAUCUUCGCCCAAAGCAGCAAUGUGCCUAAGGAUGGGACUGCGUCGGAUUAGCUCGUUGUUGAGGUAACUGCUCAACAAGGCUAUAAUCUGUACGGGUCGUGAGAGCGAUAGCCCGGAGAUGGCUUCUGAGACAUUAAGCCAGGCCCCACGGGGCGCAGCAGGCGCGAAAACUUUGCAAUGCCCGAAAGGGUGACAAGGGAAUCCUGAGUGAUAUCGCAAUGCGGUAUCUUUUGUAUACUGUAAAUAGGUGUACGAAUAAGGGGUGGGUAAGACGGUUGCCAGCCGCCGCGGUAAUUCGAAGAAUCGAAUUAAUAACAAGAACUGGCAUGAAGUGUAGCAAUACAUUUCAAUUCUUGACUUUCCGGUUCUUCGAACCGUAAAUAACCGCGCCCCAAGUUGUAGUCACGUUUAUUGGGCCUAGAGCGUCCGUAGCUGGUUCGAUAAGUCUCUGGUGAAAACCGUUAGUAAACUAACGGGAGUGCUGGAGAUACUAUCAAACUUGAGACCGGGAGAGGCUAGGAGUAUUCCGCAGGUAAGGGUAAAAUCUUUUAAUCUGCGGAGGACUACCUGUGGCGAAGGCGCCUAGCUGGAACGGGUCUGACAGUGAGGGACGAAAGCGUGGGGAGCGACCGGGAUUAGAUACCCCGUUAGUCCACGCCGUAAACGAUGCCCACUUGGUGUCGCACAAUCUUCGAGAUUCUGCGGUGCCGUAGCGAAGGUGUUAAGUGGGCCGCCUGGGGAGUACGACCGCAAGGUUGAAACUCGACUCAACGGAAUUGAAAUGUUGAUUCGUUCAACAAACUUAAGGGA